rnacentral:rRNA from 1 species
CGCUUUUGGUCCCAAAUCUUUGGUGUUGCUUUUUCCAAUAAACAUUGGUUACAUUUCUUUAUGCUAUUUGUACCCGUCACCGGUUUAUGGAUGAGUGCUAUUGGCGUAGUUGGCUUGGCUCUGAACUUACGUGCCCAGGAAAUCCGUGCAGCGGGAGAUCCUGAAUUUGAGACUUUAUACACCAAAAAUAUUCUUUUAAACGAGGGUAUUCGUGCGUGGAUGGCAGCUCAGGAUCAGCCUCAUGAAAAUCUUAUAUUCCCUGAGGAGGUUCUACCACGUGGAAACGCUCCGCGCCCACGACCACACCAAGCAGAACAGGGGAGGUGA